GAGAGAAGCUGAAAUUGGGCAUUUAGGAACCCAAUGAACAAAGCACGCAGAGAACAGCAAAAGGAUGUAUUACACGCAUUUUGAUUCGAGAAAAGAAGAAACAAAAGCAUGCAUAAUGCUCUCCUUUGGAGAAAGUUGGGAAUACCAAUCUCUCGAUAUCUUUAACUUCAUGGGGAAUUACUACGAGCAGUUUCAUCACUGUUGAUCUUUCUUCUCUUUUGCAUCGAAUCUAAUACAGAGCAUCGGAGUUUCAGAUCCAUGCAUGCAUCCAAGGAGACAUCCAUCGUAAAGAUCGAGAGCCACCACGCGCCCCUAAAUUCGAAAGAAAAACAAUGUAAAUAAAGCAUUUCGACGAAAGACGAGAAAAAAAGUAAAAAAGAGGCAAAGAGAAGAAAAAGUGAUGAGGAUCCUUCCUUUGUGCCAUGAUAAGAUCACUACUUUGUUUUUAGGGUUUGAUAAUGAAUGUGAACCUUAGAUCAAGCUACCGCCAAUAAUUGAGACGAGAGGGAAAACAGAUUAAGAACGCAUAAAGCAAAAGAUCAUCAUAUGGCACAGUUGUUCAAGUUGCAUCUGAUUUCUGCUUCUGGAAUAGAACUGAUCAGUGUAGCUUUUUGCAAUCAAAGCUACCUUUUGGUGCUUCAGAUCGAUCCAUUGGAACCACAAGGACAAUGAGUGGGGAAACUCCAUUUCCAAUCACUGCAACUUCCACUUCUUUCCUCGGUACCUCCACCUAAAAGACUCCAUGUUUCUUGAGAGUAGACCCGAGCUUCUGCUUCCUGAGAGAUAAUCGCACCAUGCACAAUUAGAGAGAUACUUUAAUGGAUCUCCCACCUCUUUUGUGACAACAUCUUCUUAAGUCCCUCAGAAAUGUAAAAUUUCCGAGAACAAGAGUAGUUUAAUCAUGAUGAUUAGGGGAGAGUCUA
rnacentral:lncRNA from 1 species